GGAUGAAUAUUGGGCAAUGGGCGGAAGCCUGACCCAGCAACGCCGCGUGGAGGAUGAAGGCCUUCGGGUCGUAAACUCCUUUUGACGGGGAAGAGGAAGGACGGUACCCGUCGAAUAAGUCACGGCUAACUACGUGCCAGCAGCCGCGGUAAUACGUAGGUGACAAGCGUUAUCCGGAAUUACUGGGCGUAAAGCGCACGCAGGCGGCUGCUUAAGUCUGACGUAAAAUCUCCUGGCUUAACUGGGAGGG
rnacentral:rRNA from 1 species